rnacentral:misc_RNA from 1 species
AAGUCGUAACAAGGUUUCCAUAGGUGAACCUGCGAACGGAUCAUUAACACGUAUCCAAACGUUAAAACAACCCUGUGCCUUCAGCGUGUUCUUGCAGGACAUCAAAACAGAUUUUGAUUUUGGGAAGUUCUGUGUGUACGUGGACGCUGCAAUUGAGCGCUAGAUAAAGCACCCUGGUACCCUAGAGCAAUCCCCGGGAUCAAUGUUCAGGGUGGUAUGUACCCUCCGGGACUUGGCGAAAGGUGACUCCGUCAUAAAUGGAAUUAACAAGGGAUGUCUUGGGUCUC